UCUGGCUCCACAGAAGCUGCUGUUUGAGAACGGCAACCAUGGCCCCUCUGCUCUGCUUGCUCUUCCUGCUAGCAACUCUCACAGGUGUCCGGUCCCAAAUCCAGUUUGUUCAGUCUGGAGCAGAAAUUAAAAAGCCUGGAGAAUCCGUGAAGCUCACCUGCAAAGCGUCCGGUUACACAUUUACUGACUACUCCCUGAGCUGGGUCCGACAGGCUCCGGGGAAAGGCCUGGAGUGGGUAGCAAGGAUUAGGACUGACAAUUUCAACACUUUCUACCCUGAGGCUCUGAAAGGGCGAACCACCGUCAGCGUGGACACCUCCAUCAGCACAACGUAUCUCCAGAUGAACAGCCUGAAAUCUGAAGACAGCGCUGUGUAUUACUGUGCAAGAGGCACAGUGAGAAAAAACACAUACGUGGCCAUUCAUAAACCCCCCUGA